AUAAAAAUGCUCUAGAACAAUAAUAUAAAACGUAAAAUACAAAAUUUUAAAAUAUGUUUAUAUAUAUUUUAAAGAAAAUUUGGGCAGUAUUUCGGCAUAGUUAGUCCUCCCAAAAAUACCCAAACUCAACAAAAAUACUCAAUAAGCUGUAAAUAUUAUUUAAAUCAACCUAUGAAAAUCAUUAAUCCAAAAAGAAAUAUAAAACCCCAUUGAUUGGAUCUAACUAAAAUAUAACCCAUUUUUAUCCUCAAAUCACAAAAAUCACUAUUAAAAGGUAGAGAAAGGAAAUGGUAUCGUAAAAAUUUGAAGAAAAGGGACAAAACUCACUUACCCAAUUUUGGAGCCUCAAGAAGAAAUUAUUGAAUUUCUGAACAGGAUGUAGGUUUAAUCAGGAUCUAGCGGAGGAUUUCAGAAGUUUAUGGGUUGAUUGGGUUAAGAAGGAGGAGAUUUGGAUUAAAAGAGGAUUUUUUAAAAAAAAAAAAACUUACAGAGCAAAUGGAGGAGGAAGACGGGCUCUGUUUCGGGAAUGUUUCGGGACAUUCCCGAAACCAGAGCUUUAAUGCUCUCUUUCCUCUUUUUUUUUUUUUUAUAUGGGCCUGGGCCUGGGCACACAUAUUCACAUACUACAGAAUCCCCAACUGGAGUACUCACAGCUAAUCCACAGUCUAAGGAUUUGAAUUCUCUAUCAGCAUGCUUAGAGAAGGAUUGAGAUAUGAAAGAGUGAGUAGAACCAGGAUCUAUGAGAAUCAAAUAAUAAAAAUGCUCUAGAACAAUAAUAUAAAACGUAAAAUACGAAAUUUUAAAAUAUUUUUAUAUAUAUUUUUAAGAAAAUUUGGGCAGUAUUUCGGCAUAGUUAGUCCUCCCAAAAAUACCCAAACUCAACAAAAAUACUCAAUAAGCUGUAAAUAUUAUUUAAAUCAACCUAUGAAAAUCAUUACUCCAAAAAGAAAUAUAAAACCCCAUUGAUAUCCUCAAAUCACAAAAAUCAUUAUUAAAAGGUAGAGAAAGUAAAUUAUAUCGUAAAAAUUUGAAUAAAAGGGACAAAACUCACUUACCCAAUUUUGGAGCCUCAAGAAGAAAUUAUUGAAUUUCUGAACAGGAUGUAGGUUUAAUCAGGAUCUAGCGGAGGAUUUCAGAAGUUUAUGGGUUGAUUGGGUUAAGAAGGAGGAGAUUUGGAUUAAAAGAGGAUUUUUUUAAAAAAAAAACUUACAGAGCAAAUGCUCUGUUUCUGGAGGAGGAAGACGGGCUC
rnacentral:lncRNA from 1 species